rnacentral:rRNA from 1 species
ACGCUCGACACCUAGGAGGCAGCAGUGGGGAAUAUUGCACAAUGGGGGAAACCCUGAUGCAGCGACGCCGCGUGAGCGAAGAAGUAUUUCGGUAUGUAAAGCUCUAUCAGCAGGGAAGAAACUGACGGUACCUGACUAAGAAGCACCGGCUAAAUACGUGCCAGCAGCCGGACGGUAAUCUGAGGCGGGCUGGACAAGGC